rnacentral:lncRNA from 1 species
CGUAACAGAAAACUACAGCGAAAGAUGAUACUGUGAGAUUUCAAAACGUUUUAAAACCACGUCCAGAGAGAGAGAGACUGUCAACGAAUACAGCAAAGAGCUGCUGUUUUUAUGAGACCUGAGCCCUAGGACCAUGCCUCAGGACUACCUGGUAUGAUGACUCCUUGCUGUCCCCAGUCCACCUGGCCGUGCUGCUGCUCCAGUUUCAACUGUUCUGCCUGCGGCUAUGGAACCCUGACCUGUUCACCGGACGUGCUUGUUGCACCCUCGACAACUACUAUGAUUAUUAUUAUUUGACCAUGCUGGUCAUUUAUGAACAUUUUAACAUCUUGACUAUGUUCUGUUAUAAUAUCCACCCUGCACAGCCAGAAGAGGACUGGCCACCCCUCAUAGCCUGGUUCCUCUCUAGGUUUCUUCCUAGGUUUUUGGCCUUUCUAGGGAGUUUUUCCUAGGGAGUUUUUCCUAGCCACCGUGCUUCUUUCACAUGCUUUGCUUGCUGUUUGGGGUUUUAGGCUGGGUUUCUGUACAGCACUUUGAGAAUAUCAGCUGAUGUACGAAGGGCUAUAUAAAAAUAAAUUUGAAAUUUGAUUUGACUAGCUACCGAAAGGUUGAAAGAUCAAAUCCCCGAGCUGACAAGGUACAAAUCUGUUGUUCUGCCCCUGAACAAGGCAGUUAACCCAUGGUUCCUAGGCUCUCAUUGAAAAUAAGAAUUUGUUCUUAACUGACUUGACUAGUUAAAUAAAGGUCAAAAUUCUUAUGUAAAUAAGGUAUUUCUGUUUUAUUUUCUGUACAGAAGCUGUCAUUGCAAACUUCAACAGUCGGGACAAAGUUCGAUAUUAUCAUACAAUUAGUCUUUGUAGAUCCAGACCAUGUACAGAUACAGAGCCUGGAGAAGUGGAUGGGUAGGAAGGAGGGAUGAAAAGAGAGAGAGAGAUUGAGGGAAGAAGAGAGAGAAUGAAUGAGAGAAGGAGAAAGAAUAAAGAGAAAUAGGUCACCUUCAUGGUAAUAGUUAGCAAUUCAAAUAUGUGUUUCCACCAGAAGAGAAGUGAGGAGGUUGGUGUAACCUACUAGGGUUAGGGUUGCGCUCCACCAGAAGUGAAGUGAGGAGGUUGGUGUAACCUAUUCUUGGCACCACAUGCAGGGCCCACAGUCACUGUGUUUAUCGGACUUAGGGGCUUCUGAGUGAAGCACGCGUUAGGUCCCAUCACCAUCCCGAACAUUAGCCAGCCACCACUGAUUCAAGACAUCUAUUAGCAAGCUUGGGGCUGUGUUUCCAAUGACACCCUGUUCCCUACAGAGUGCAUUCUUUUUGACCAGAGCCCUCAAAAGUAGUGCACUACAUAGGGAAUAGGGUACCAUUUGAGACGUAACCGCUGCUUUUAAAAGGAUCAGGAAGCCUGACAGGCAUGUGACUUCAAGCAUUGUCAUUCAUUCUAAUUUAUUCAUUUUGAAUACAGUUAACGAUGAAAAAAAACUAAAAAAAAACGAUCCACUUUUUCCUCCAAGGAUUCAUUUGGUUGAUUUCAAUAUUGAUGUAUUGUCACUGCAGCCUAGUUUCCUCUCAGCCCUCCUGUG